GGGGCUGUAGCUCAGUGGCAGAGUAACUGCUUUGCAUGCAGACAGUCGAAAGUUCAAUUCCCAGCAACCCCA